CCAGGCAGGUUCCCCCCUUCUCCUCCAGCCUCACCUGCGCCCGGCUGCGCCCCCCGGUCUGCAGAGGUUCCCCCGACGCGGGAGCAGGGCUGUGCAUCAGCUGCUGCUAAUAACGAGCUCCCACCCCACCUGCUCCCCCCACGCGGGAGCAGGGCCCUGCAUCACUGAUAGCUAAUAACGGGCUCCAGCCCCACCUGUUUCCUCCCCAACGUGGGAGCAGGGCUGUGCACCGGCUGUCGCCAACAACGGGCUCCCAGCAGCCUCGAACCUGCGGCGCAGCGGGGUGCCCUGCUGCGGGAGGGGGCUCUGGCCAGGCCCUUGCGGGAUGCACAGGGUUAGGGGGACCCUGAGCCUCGGGGGACGGGGUGUUGAGGGCCCUGUGCAUCGAGGGAUGCCGCCGUGCACCCGAGGAGCGGCGAUGCCGGCGCAGGAGCAGCUCUCGGCGGGCAGGACAAGAGGAGGAGGAGGAGAGACCAGCCUGUGUGCGUGGAUCAGAAAGAUGGGAUGGGGAAGGCGACGGCCGGCCGGCAGCGUGAGGGACGAGGGCAGGGCUGAAACAGCCGGUCGGAGGCAGAGGCAGGGAAGAAGAGCGCAAAGCCUAGCCAGUGCCUGAGCCCUCCUUCUCCCCAAACCUCUCCCCACCGCCCAAGGCUCCUCGCAGCCGCCCGGCCUGGGGGGCGACGGCUCUGCGGGGACGAUGGUGCCGGCAGGGUUUGGGCUGCAGAAGCCGUCGUUGCCGGCGGUGCCGCGUCGGGAGCCCAGCUCGACGCUGCAGUCCCGGGCUGAGCUGCGAAAGCAAACCCGGAGCGCCAGCCUGCCGCGUUUCACAGCAGAGCUGCCGUUUAGGGAGGCUGGGGAGAGGAGACAUCUUCCUCCUCCAGCUUUCUCCUUCUCAAUGCACCACGCGUAUGCUGGAGCCUGCUCUGCGGAGCAUCCCAGCACCCAGGGGGGCUUCCCUGGGGCCCUGCCCCGUGUCCUGUGCCCUUCCCUCCCUCGGCAGCGGGGCCGGCAAAGGGAGCACGCUCCCGCGGGAUGGCUGGUGCCCUGGCAUUAGGGCAGCCCGGCCGCGGCAGCAGAGCCGGUGUCCCGUGGCCAGGCUUGGGGCUGGGGAUGUGUUUUCCAGCCUCCAAGUGCUUGUGCAUCGGCCGGGAGAUUUCAAGGAGCGUUUUCCCGGGAGCAGGGAGGUGCUGCAACACGCCGCCGUGCCGGGGCCUUCGGGGGGGUCAGCUCUCGCCUCUGCCAUGGACCUUCUGGGAGAACCUCGGUCAGGGCUCGGUGCUGGGGCCGUGCCGGUUCCCGUGCCGCUCAGGCUCCCGUCUCCCGCUGCACCCCCACGAAGCUGAACCGGCCGGCGCUCCGGUGCCGCGGCGGCAAGGCAGGAGAGCGGAGGGGGGGCCGGGGGAGCACCUGCUUUCUCAGCGAGUCCGUUUUGCCUUUGGGGCCGGGGGGUCUCGGCUCUGCCGCCGGGGCCGUGCGAUGGUUCAAUCCCCCCGCAGCGGAGCCGGCGUGCGAGCGGUGGGGGGGGGGGGAAGGAGGGGGUGCAGAGGAGGGGCUGGAGCCGAACCCGGCGCCCGGCUCGUCCCCCCGGCGAGGGCAGGCGCAGCAGGAGCUGCUGCUUCCCAGAAACUUGAUUAUUUUUAACCCAGGAAGAAGAAAGGAAGGAAAAGGAGAGGGAAAA